AGAGUUUGAUCAUGGCUCAGAUUGAACGCUGGCGGCAUGCCUUACACAUGCAAGUCGAACGGCAGCAUGAUCUAGCUUGCUAGAUUGAUGGCGAGUGGCGAACGGGUGAGUAAUACAUCGGAACGUGCCCUGUAGUGGGGGAUAACUAGUCGAAAGAUUAGCUAAUACCGCAUACGACCUGAGGGUGAAAGUGGGGGACCGCAAGGCCUCAUGCUAUAGGAGCGGCCGAUGUCUGAUUAGCUAGUUGGUGAGGUAAAGGCUCACCAAGGCGACGAUCAGUAGCUGGUCUGAGAGGACGAUCAGCCACACUGGGACUGAGACACGGCCCAGACUCCUACGGGAGGCAGCAGUGGGGAAUUUUGGACAAUGGGCGAAAGCCUGAUCCAGCAAUGCCGCGUGUGUGAAGAAGGCCUUCGGGUUGUAAAGCACUUUUGUCCGGAAAGAAAUGGCUCUGGUUAAUACCUGGGGUCGAUGACGGUACCGGAAGAAUAAGGACCGGCUAACUACGUGCCAGCAGCCGCGGUAAUACGUAGGGUCCAAGCGUUAAUCGGAAUUACUGGGCGUAAAGCGUGCGCAGGCGGUUGUGCAAGACCGAUGUGAAAUCCCCGAGCUUAACUUGGGAAUUGCAUUGGUGACUGCACGGCUAGAGUGUGUCAGAGGGGGGUAGAAUUCCACGUGUAGCAGUGAAAUGCGUAGAGAUGUGGAGGAAUACCGAUGGCGAAGGCAGCCCC
rnacentral:rRNA from 1 species